rnacentral:rRNA from 1 species
GAUGAACGCUAGCUACAGGCUUAACACAUGCAAGUCGAGGGGAAACGACAUCGAAAGCUUGCUUUUGAUGGGCGUCGACCGGCGCACGGGUGAGUAACGCGUAUCCAACCUGCCCACCACUUGGGGAUAACCUUGCGAAAGUAAGACUAAUACCCAAUGACGUCUCUAGAAGACAUCUGAAAGAGAUUAAAGAUUUAUCUGUGAUGGAUGGGGAUGCGUCUGAUUAGCUUGUUGGCGGGGUAACGGCCCACCAAGGCGACGAUCAGUAGGGGUUCUGAGAGGAAGGUCCCCCACAUUGGAACUGAGACACGGUCCAAACUCCUACGGGAGGCAGCAGUGAGGAAUAUUGGUCAAUGGGCGAGAGCCUGAACCAGCCAAGUAGCGUGCAGGAUGACGGCCCUAUGGGUUGUAAACUGCUUUUAUAAGGGAAUAAAGUGAGUCUCGUGAGACUUUUUGCAUGUACCUUAUGAAUAAGGACCGGCUAAUUCCGUGCCAGCCGCCGCAGUAA